rnacentral:rRNA from 1 species
AUGCCGGCGAGGAGGGUGGCCAUCGACCUGCUCCGGAACGCCUCCCGCGAGGCCUUCCAGGCGGCCGUCUCCACCAUGCUGAAGCCGGCCACCAACAAGCCCCUCCACCACGACCACCGGGCCGAACGAGCCAACGAGCGUAGCGCCAUUUGCAGCCGGCUAGCUCUGGACGUACCGGAGGCCGGAAGCCGGUCGCCGGAGCGAGCGAUGAUGUCGGAUCAGAGAGGGGAGUGGGAGGACUACCGGACGCCGCACGGGCUGCUGAUGGCGGUGGUGAUGGGGGCGGUGGUGGCGGGGCCGCUGUUCGUCCUGGACGGCGGCGAGGCGGUGCGCGAGGCCCUGUCGGAGCUCCUCGGGCCCGUGGGGCUCCCGCUGCUCCCCCUCGGCCUCGUCCUCGUCAUCCGCGUCCUCUCCUCCGGCCUCCGGCUCGUCGACGUCUUCGGCUUCGCCCUGGGAGAGUCGCUCGACGCCGCCUACCGCUCCGGGCGGGGAUCGCCGGUGGGGGUCGUGCUCGCGCUGAUGUUCUUCCUGCUCGCGGUGUACUACAGGUCGUGGUCGCCGUUCGGCGGCGACGACGAGUAG